rnacentral:lncRNA from 1 species
CGGUUUUGAAAAAAAAAAGAAAGAAAUCCUCUGAAAGAGGAUUUGGGGCCGACCUCGGAGCUCUGUCGAGCCCCUGUUCUCAAGCGCCCACGCGUCCACGCGCCACCGCGAAUGCCGCCACGUGCGGCGGUCGGAAGUUGGAAAACUUCCCGUUUCAACGCAAAUUUAGAAAUAGUUCGUCUCCUCUUUUCCCUUUUCAUGUUACCAGCAUAUAUUUUGUAAAAAAAAAUGAAAUAUUCACCUCUGUAUUCUUUGAUAAUCUGCCAAUGUUUCUCUUGUUUUUAUCUAUAUCAACUGUUCGUAUCCAUUACAACGAUAGCACUCGGGCUUUAUAGCCACUGUUUACAAUAUAUUUACAUCUUUAUUUUAUUUCCUUGCCAUAUUUGUUUCGUCUCUGUCGUUUCUUUCCCUUUUUUGCGGAUGAUUGAGGAAAAUCCGGCGACGAUCGUGCUGACGAUGUAGAUCUACUGGUGGCAUUGAUCACGGUGUGAUUCGAAGCCUGGAAUCAAGGCCUGGAAUCUCAACACUGAUAGUGGGUUACGCGAGACGAACAGUCGCGUCGUUUGGAAUGCUUGCGGCGCUAGUGUUUUUGGAACCUUCCGUUUGCGGCGCCUAGGGCUCCAGAAACCCUAG